rnacentral:rRNA from 1 species
UACGUAGGGACCGAGCGUUGUCCGGAAUCAUUGGGCGUAAAGAGCGUGUAGGCGGCCAAUUAAGUCCUGCGUGAAAUCUCGGGGCUCAACCCCGAGCGGUCGUGGGAAACUGGUUGGCUAGAGUGCGGGAGAGGAGAGUGGAAUUCCUGGUGUAGCGGUGAAAUGCGCAGAUAUCAGGAAGAACACCCGUGGCGAAGGCGGCUCUCUGGAACGCAACUGACGCUGAGACGCGAAAGCGUGGGUAGCAAACAGG